rnacentral:lncRNA from 1 species
UCAUAUCACAAAAGAGCUUAACAUGCCGGAAACUAGAGUAUACAUCAUAAGCUCGACUUUAGUUUACCCCAUGUAUUAAAAGUCGUUGACAUAUACGGUAACUAAAUUUAAAAGAAGUUUCGUUUUUCUAAACUUCUAUACAACCCAAGUAAUAUUCAUAAUGCUGUACAACCCAAGUAAUAUUCAUAAUGCUAUACAACCCAACCCAAAAGUAUAUCCACAAUGAAGAUAUAAAAAAAGAAAGAAGUCCAUAAAUAUGGAUUUCUUUGACGACAAAUCCUCAUUGAAUUAUAUGGAUUGGGACAUGACCUUUACCUUCUCCUCACGCAACGGGCAUUGUUUGAAGUCUCCCACUGUCCCUCCCUCCUUUAGACCCCACAUUUAC